rnacentral:rRNA from 1 species
UACGUAGGGCGCAAGCGUUAUCCGGAAUUAUUGGGCGUAAAGAGCUCGUAGGCGGUUUGUCGCGUCUGCCGUGAAAGUCCGGGGCUCAACUCCGGAUCUGCAGGUGGGUACGGGCAGACUAGAGUGAUGUAGGGGAGACUGGAAUUCCUGGUGUAGCGGUGAAAUGCGCAGAUAUCAGGAGGAACACCGAUGGCGAAGGCGGGUCUCUGGGCCGUAACUGACGCUGAGGAGCGAAAGCAUGGGGAGCGAACAGG